UAACAUUGAAACACCAGUUCCUGUAUGAUCACUGAAGUUAAGCAAUGUCAAACCUGAUCAGUAUCUAGAUGGGUGACUGCUUGGGAAUACCAGGUAGUGU